UACGGAGGAUGCAAGCGUUACCCGGAAUGAUUGGGCGUAAAGCGUCCGCAGGUGGCUAUGUAAGUCUGCUGUUAAAGAGUGAGGCUCAACCUCAUAAAAGCAGUGGAAACUACAUGGCUAGAGUGCGUUCGGGGCAGAGGGAAUUCCUGGUGUAGCGGUGAAAUGCGUAGAGAUCAGGAAGAACACCGGUGGCGAAAGCGCUCUGCUAGGCCGCAACUGACACUGAGGGACGAAAGCUAGGGGAGCGAAUGGG
rnacentral:rRNA from 1 species